rnacentral:rRNA from 2 species
AGACCCGAAACCCGGUGAUCUAGCCAUGGGCAGGUUGAAGGUUGGGUAACACUAACUGGAGGACCGAACCGACUAAUGUUGAAAAAUUAGCGGAUGACCUGUGGCUGGGGGUGAAAGGCCAAUCAAACCGGGAGAUAGCUGGUUCUCCCCGAAAGCUAUUUAGGUAGCGCCUCGUGAAUUCAUCUCCGGGGGUAGAGCACUGUUUCGGCUAGGGGGCCAUCCCGGCUUACCAACCCGAUGCAAACUGCGAAUACCGGAGAAUGUUAUCACGGGAGACACACGGCGGGUGCUAACGUCCGUCGUGAAGAGGGAAACAACCCAGACCGCCAGCUAAGGUCCCAAAGUCAUGGUUAAGUGGGAAACGAUGUGGGAAGGCCCAGACAGCCAGGAUGUUGGCUUAGAAGCAGCCAUCAUUUAAAGAAAGCGUAAUAGCUCACUGGUCGAGUCGGCCUGCGCGGAAGAUGUAACGGGGCUAAACCAUGCACCGAAGCUGCGGCAGCGAACGUAUCACUUAAAGCGAUUCAGCGGGUUACGAUUGACGGAGCGAAGCGACGUCAAAGCGUAUACAAAGUCGAGUCGGUUUAAGGAUACGUUCGUUGGGUAGGGGAGCGUUCUGUAAGCCUGCGAAGGUGGCCUGUGAGGGUUGCUGGAGGUAUCAGAAGUGCGAAUGCUGACAUAAGUAACGAUAAAGCGGGUGAAAAGCCCGCUCGCCGGAAGACCAAGGGUUCCUGUCCAACGUUAAUCGGGGCAGGGUGAGUCGACCCCUAAGGCGAGGCCGAAAGGCGUAGUCGAUGGGAAACGGGUUAAUAUUCCCGUACUUGGUGUUACUGCGAAGGGGGGACGGAGAAGGCUAUGUUGGCCGGGCGACGGUUGUCCCGGUUUAAGCGUGUAGGUGUGUGUUCCAGGUAAAUCCGGUUCACUUUAACACUGAGGCGUGAUGACGAGGCACUACGGUGCUGAAGCAACAAAUGCCCUGCUUCCAGGAAAAGCCUCUAAGCAUCAGGUAACAUCAAAUCGUACCCCAAACCGACACAGGUGGUCAGGUAGAGAAUACCAAGGCGCUUGAGAGAACUCGGGUGAAGGAACUAGGCAAAAUGGUGCCGUAACUUCGGGAGAAGGCACGCUGACACGUAGGUGAAGUGAUUUACUCAUGGAGCUGAAGUCAGUCGAAGAUACCAGCUGGCUGCAACUGUUUAUUAAAAACACAGCACUGUGCAAACACGAAAGUGGACGUAUACGGUGUGACGCCUGCCCGGUGCCGGAAGGUUAAUUGAUGGGGUCAGCGCAAGCGAAGCUCCUGAUCGAAGCCCCGGUAAACGGCGGCCGUAACUAUAACGGUCCUAAGGUAGCGAAAUUCCUUGUCGGGUAAGUUCCGACCUGCACGAAUGGCGUAAUGAUGGCCAGGCUGUCUCCACCCGAGACUCAGUGAAAUUGAACUCGCUGUGAAGAUGCAGUGUACCCGCGGCAAGACGGAAAGACCCCGUGAACCUUUACUAUAGCUUGACACUGAACAUUGAGCCUUGAUGUGUAGGAUAGGUGGGAGGCUUUGAAGUGUGGACGCCAGUCUGCAUGGAGCCGACCUUGAAAUACCACCCUUUAAUGUUUGAUGUUCUAACGUGGACCCGUGAUCCGGGUUGCGGACAGUGUCUGGUGGGUAGUUUGACUGGGGCGGUCUCCUCCUAAAGAGUAACGGAGGAGCACGAAGGUUGGCUAAUCCUGGUCGGACAUCAGGAGGUUAGUGCAAUGGCAUAAGCCAGCUUGACUGCGAGCGUGACGGCGCGAGCAGGUGCGAAAGCAGGUCAUAGUGAUCCGGUGGUUCUGAAUGGAAGGGCCAUCGCUCAACGGAUAAAAGGUACUCCGGGGAUAACAGGCUGAUACCGCCCAAGAGUUCAUAUCGACGGCGGUGUUUGGCACCUCGAUGUCGGCUCAUCACAUCCUGGGGCUGAAGUAGGUCCCAAGGGUAUGGCUGUUCGCCAUUUAAAGUGGUACGCGAGCUGGGUUUAGAACGUCGUGAGACAGUUCGGUCCCUAUCUGCCGUGGGCGCUGGAGAACUGAGGGGGGCUGCUCCUAGUACGAGAGGACCGGAGUGGACGCAUCACUGGUGUUCGGGUUGUCAUGCCAAUGGCACUGCCCGGUAGCUAAAUGCGGAAGAGAUAAGUGCUGAAAGCAUCUAAGCACGAAACUUGCCCCGA